GCCAGUGUGGUUAAGUGGUUAGAACAUUGGCCCACACACUGAAGGGUCCUGGGUUCGAUUCCCAGUCAAGGGCA
rnacentral:tRNA from 1 species